GUCCUCUCAGCUGGAACCACUGAUGCAGCCUUGGCCUACCUCAGUUCCCAAGUUAAGGGUGACAGAAGCAGCCUGCAUCAAUAGCCCUGCUUGAGCCCCUCAGACCAAUUUGGGAGAAGGGGGAACCAUGAAGGCUUUGAAGAGUUCGGAGAAACGUUUUUAGCCAGAAGGAACGUCAGUAUGUUCGCUUUUCCAUGAGGAAAAACCAAAAACAGCUGUACUGCAUACUACUUCCAAAUACUAUAUUUCAUGGAUCUUGAAAGGUCAUGGAUUAUAAGAUUUACUGUUGACAUUAAGUAUAUACACUAACCGCAAGACUUACCCAUGAUUUUAGAAACAUCUAAGUGUGAAAAUCAUUUGUAUCAGACUCAAAGGAAAAUACUAUCACAAAUAAACAAAAUAUGGUUACUACUAAUUUUAGCAGAUCCAGUUUGCUUGACUAAUCUACAAUGUAACUUAGAGUGACCUGAUACAAAAUGGAAAAAAUAUAAUGUCAACUAGGGAAAAAUGAAUAGAAAAAAGACUGGAAGAGAAUAGGCCAUUUGUUUCCUAUGCGU
rnacentral:lncRNA from 1 species